rnacentral:rRNA from 1 species
CCUACGGGAGGCAGCAGUAGGGAAUCUUGCACAAUGGGCGAAAGCCUGAUGGAGCCACGCCGCGUGGAUGAAGAAGGUCUUCGGGUCGUAAACCCCUGUUGUUAGAGAAGAAAGUGCGUGAGAGUAAAUGUUCACGUUUCGACGGUAUCUAACCACGAAGCUCCGGCUAACUCCGUUCCAGCAGCCGCGGUAAUACGUAGGUAGCAAGCGUUAUCCGGAUUUAUUGGGCGUAAAGGGUACACAGGCGGUCUGUUACGUCUGAUUGGAAAGCCUUGGGCUUAACCGGUGUAGUGCAUGGGAGACUGGGAGACUUGAGUGCAGAAGAGGAGAGUAGAACUCCAUGUGUAGAGGUGAAAUGCGUAGAGAUCUGGAAGAACACCAGUGGCGAAAGCGG